UGCAUGGUGUGUUUACACCUACUAUUUAACGCAUUGUAAUCAUAGGCGAACAGUUACAGUUCAGCCUAUAUACACACUACAACAAUUACAACAGCGCAGAUCAACACCAGGGUCUACAAAUGAAGACAUUAAUAGUAUUGUUGAGCCUUGUAGCAGGCAUUCAUUGCUUCCCUAAACUAUUUGAUAAAGGUCAAGUACAGACAAUUUCCUUCCGUUUUGCAGACAGAAACUCCAACAGAUAUGUGGAUUUUGAUGAGUUCAAAAUAGAACUCCGGAAGUACGAUACAAAUUAUGAUGACCAGCUAUCUGAGAAUGAAUUGAGUAAUUGUAUAAUACCAUGGAACUGGUUUAAUACAACUUCAGUUUCUACUGAUGCUGAUUAUAGAAACGCUUUUACAAAAUUGGAUACAAACCAAGAUGGUCAACUAACAUAUGAAGAAUCCCGACAGAACGAAUAGAACAGAUCAAGCAUGAUGAAUAUUUUAAAAAAAAAAUUAAAGAUGCAUUAUGUAAGAAUUAGAUAAAGAGCGGACAGUUCUCGCUAUAAUAGGUCGAAAAUUGAUAAUGAAAAGGGAAUAUAUUGAAAAUGUCAGUCAAAUUACUUAAUCCUGAGCGAAGUUAUGACUGUUUGAAGAACCACGUAGUCUUGAUUUUCAUUGCUAUCAUUGUUAUGAUAAUAAACAAAGUCUAGAUUAUCCAUUAUUAAAUUAAAUAAUUAAAUGGCGAUCAUGUUUCAAUCCGUUCAAAGUCCCAACCAUUGUAUGGUCUAGAGAGUUGAUUAUGAGUUUGUCAUGUAAUUAAAUGUCUAAAUUAAUAAUUUAAGGUCAAAUUUUAGCUCUUACAUAAUGCAUCAUUAAGUUAUUACUGCCUUGUUGUUAUUAAAAUCUCUUUAUUUUAAAAGUACUGCCAAAGGCGGUACACAAUUACGCAUUUUAUAAAAGUGAUUUCGAAACUUCAAUUUCUUCAACAUACCAAGUUUAGCAUUUCUUAUAAGUAUAUUAUCGACUACAUAUUGAAUAAUGAUCUAAUUUAAUAUUCAUUUUAAAUUUUCUAUAGUUUCCUAAUCCUAUCUAGAUUAUCGCCCUUAUUUUAUGCCUUUAUAUAAAUACACAUUCAUAGUAGCCUACGAUUUCUUCAGCAUACCUGUUUUACAUUUCUUGUAGGGGUAUUACGUAUUAUAUUUUGUGCAAUUACAUAGCUGAAUAAUUUCAAUUAGUUCCUGAAUGGAUAGCUUAUUAACCUUUUGGGGUUAUCUUAUCUGGAUUAUCGACCUUUGACGUUAUUGGCAACCUACGGCCUUUUACGUCACGUCAUUCAGUCAGCAGACAGCUGUCUUUCGAGACAGUUUACAUUUUCUCAUUUGCUUCUUUGUAUUUAGUUUCGUUUGUUUUUUACUCUGUUUUUGUGAUAAAUCAAACAUAAUUGAGAUAGAGAGAGAAAUAGGGUUUAAUGUCCACUCGACACAAACUAAGUCAUUUUGGGUCUAACAUAUAGUUCAAUUUUAUUUCAAUAAUUCACUUGCGCAUAGGGGUCUUUAGCAGUGGGAGGAAACCGGAGGACCCAGAGAAAACCCACGAUGUUGGACAGACAACCCUACUCCUUAUCACAUACCACCGGGGAAUCGAAACCAAGCCAGUUGACUCAAUGACAGACCAUAUGAUACGGAUAAAACACGCACGUGCUAACCAUUCAGCCAUCCACCCACCACCCCUCAGGUGCAUUAGGUGAGAGAAAUUUUGCCCUGAGGGUGGCGUUACGGCCAACUCUUGGAUAUUCCCCCGAUCCAUGCAACUUGAAAACAUUCCCUUGCUAGGUCCUCCAUCCUGCUCCACUUAAGAACUCUAUCUGCCACCUACCAAGCCAGGUCAACAAAAAACAAGACCAUAAAUAAUAUCUUUCAUUGUUUUAUUUAAUGUCAACAGAAAAUAUUGGUACAAAAAGCCAUAACAACUAGAGUAGUUUAUGUGUAUUUAUAAACCUAUAAUGGUAAAUCUCUUUGAUCUUUGGGGUAUAUUCAAUACUUGAAAUAACUUGCGGUCUGAAAAUCAGGGGCGGCUUUAGAUAUAUACAGGGAAAUUUGGGGUUAUUCUUCUGAAACUUGCUAGAACAGUUCGAAAAUAGAUAAUUCAAAAUGAAUAUGUUGAAAAUUACUUUAUUCUGAGCAAAGAUAUUCGCCUUUGAAGGUUUGACAAGAUGUGUGCACUGAUUAUAACUACCCUACUGGUUGUUCUAAGCUUAGCCUCACUUCACCAUUUUUAGAUUAAAUCAUUAAAUAGUUGAACAUUU